rnacentral:tRNA from 1 species
GCCUAUGUUGCUAAGUGGUAAGAGCAUCAGCUAGCAUGCUGAGAGGUCUCAGGUUCAAUUCCCGGUCAAGGGCA